rnacentral:rRNA from 1 species
CCUACGGUGAGCAGCAGUGAGGAAUAUUGGUCAAUGGACGCAAGUCUGAACCAGCCAUGCCGCGUGCAGGAAGACGGCUCUAUGAGUUGUAAACUUCUUUUAUAUGGGAAUAAAAUGUUCCACGUGUGGGAUUUUGUAUGUACCAUAUGAAUAAGGAUCGGCUAACUCCGUGCCAGCAGCCGCGGUAAUACGGAGGAUCCGAGCGUUAUCCGGAUUUAUUGGGGUUAAAGGGAGCGUAGGUGGAUUGUUAAGUCAGUUGUGAAAGUUUGCGGCUCAACCGUAAAAUUGCAGUUGAAACUGGCAGUCUUGAGUACAGUAGAGGUGGGCGGAAUUCGUGGUGUAGCGGUGAAAUGCUUAGAUAUCACGAAGAACUCCGAUUGCGAAGGCAGCUCACUGGACUGCAACUGACACUGAGGCUCGAAAGUGUGGGUAUCAAACAGGAUUAGAUACCCUAGUAGUC